rnacentral:lncRNA from 1 species
UGGCAUCCAAACCAAAAACAAGAUUGUAAAUAAAUUUGAAAAGUGAAAUGGAAAUAAUAAUCACAUAAUUUUAUCUCUAGGAUACACCACAAUUAUUAUGGCUCUACCAUGAAUAUUACAUACACAUGAAAUAAUUCAAAUUUUUAAACAAUGAAUUCAAUUAUUUUUCAGCACAUUACCAUAUGCAAUACCCUGUGAGUUAAAUGCCCAACACAUAAAAAGAUAAGAUACUUGCACUUUGGGGAGUUUACAUUGAAAAGAGAUGAUCAAAUAGACAAAAAACUUUUUUUUUUAGUUUUUCCUACUUUAUGCAAUUUUAUAUCACAGUCAAAAUUUAAUAAUCUAAAUAUCAAAGAAACACAUCUUGAAAACAUAACUCAUUCUGUAUAAAGUUGUCUAAUGAAUGUAUCUGAUAGUCCUGUGUAUUUAUAAAAUCAUGUAUGCAUAUUUAUAUAUAUAUUAGGCGUCACAGCACCUGAGUUGAAAAAUUGACAGCUUGCUUUCAGUGAUUCAGAUUUUGAACGUCUCUUACCUGUUUGUUCUUGUUUCUGAAGUGGAAAAAAAAAACCACCAGACUAUUUUAACAUAAUUCAAAAUCUUCUUUAUUAGUUAAUAAACUAAUUCCAAAACUGAUGUUGCAUCAUUAGUUUAUUUGAAAGGGAAAUCAAUAAGUCAAUUAGUGCUUUUUCUAGAAAUAAAAUUCUUCUUUAUAGUGUAUCUGAAGAUUGAAUGUAUUCUGUCACAAUAGAAAAAUUUAGAAGCUGUUACUAUUACCCUUCCCAAACAGAACUACUCUUAACAUAGUGGUUAAGGUCCUAGUUUUGGAGUCAUACUGAUUUCAUUUUUAAAUCAUGGCUCCAUUACUUAGAUAUCAAGUACCUAAAUUUUUUAAUCACCAGAUGUAAAAUGAAGGCUUUACCCUCUAUCUCAAUAUGUUUGGUGACUAUUAAAUGAAAUGUUGCAUCAAAAUGAAUGCAGAGCACUUUGUCCAGGACUAGGCAUGGAGUAAUAAGCAUUUAAUAAGUGGAAAAGAAUGGAGUUCAUUCAACGAACCCCAAUCAGUCAAGGACCUGGGUAUAAUUUGCUCAAAUAUCCUUUCCUGAAUACUCCUUAUAUAUCCUGUGCUCAUCUACCUAUCUCACUAUAGAGCUUACUUUUGAGCUGAACAUUUUACAGCUAUUCAAACAACCUAAGAUCUACUUUUCUUUUGUGCUGGUAUUAGCCAUAUGAAGCUUGUAGUAGUGAAAAUAAAGAAUCAUCUCCCAUUUCAGAUGAAAGCAAUGAGGCAAGCAGUAGGAAGAGGAUUCAUUUUUGGGAAAAAUACUAUGUCCUGAAAGAAAGAAAAUUAUAGGUACAAUCACCCAGAUUAUAAACUAGGUAGAUAGCUUUUCUUGCCUAUAUAUGAUACUCCAGCUUCUCUCUCAAGUACACCCAAUCAUUUUCAUUCAUUCAGCAUUUAUUGAGUAUUUCCUUUGUUUAAAUCCUUGAAAUUUAACUGAAAAUUGCCAACAUUCCCUACCCUCCCAGAACGCUUUCCCUCCCAUUCCUUAGCACCCCACAUACAUCCACCAUUUGCUAAUCAAGUGACUAUCUAUCCAAGGGUUUCAACAAUAGCUUCAGUUUGAUUUUGAUUUGGGGGGAAAAAAAAAGUUUACUAUCUGGUCUUUUUUUUUAAUUAUUUUUUUACCCAGUUUCCCAUUCCAUCCUACCCUUUGACACAGCUGCCAUAGUAGUUCUACCCUUUUUAUAAUUCUACUCUUUCUGUAGUUCUUUACUCUGUCUAAAACAUAGUCCUCAACUUUGUGGCACUUUAGAAUCACCAGGGUAGAUCUCUUCAAUCUUGAAGCCCUGGUUGCAACCCAGACAAAUUAUGUCAGAAUCCCAAAAAGUGGGGCCAAAUCAUCAGUUGUUUAACUCCCCAGGUAAUUGCAGUGUGCAGUCAAGGCUGAGGCUUCUCCAAAAUCUUUCUCUCCACAUACCACCCUUACUUCACAGAUCACUUCUCUGUUGUGUCACUCCUACUCAUCCUUCAAGACUCGGCUCAGCUAUUCUUUUUUCCUGUGAAGUAUUUUCCAAACAUAACCUACCUAGGAUGGUGUAAGGUCAUGUGUGGGUUUUCUAUUGCUGUGUAGCAAAUACCAUAGACUUAACCUAAAAUAACUCGCUUAUUAGCUAAGAGUUCUGUAGGUCCAAAGUCCAAGUACACAUGGUAGAGUUCUCUGCUCAUGGUGUCCAUAAGGCUGACAUCAAGAUGUCAACCAGCUAUGUCCUCAUCUGAAGUCUCAAUUAGGGAGAGAUCCACUUCCAGCCACUCCCCCAUCCCAGCUUGUUUGCAUCAAUCAUUUCCUUACAGUUGUAGAACUAGAGUCCCUGUUAUCUCAUAACCAGCAGCCAGGGAUGGCUAUCAUCUUCUACAAACUACUCUUGGGACCAUAUGGCCUCCUCCAUAGGGCCUCUCCCACUUCCAAUAUCUCUCACUUCAGAAGGGACCCAGUGCCUGUAAAGGGUUCUCCUGAUUAGGUCAGGCCCUUCUGGAUAGUCUCCCCUUUGAUUAAUCCAAAUUAAAGUGAUUAGUAACCUAAUUAUAAGACUGCUAUCCAAUCAUAUUCAUAGGUUAUUCACAGGCUCAAAAGGAGGGACUUGAACCAGAAGAUAGAAUCUUGGAAGCCAUCUUUGAAUUCUGCCCAGCAAGUGCCCAUCCUGUUACCCCAGAAGUCUGUCAGCACUACUUCUCCAGACACAUUGACUCCUAGGAGGUCAAGGACCAUGUUAUAUUCAUAGCUGUAUGCCCAGCAUAUAUAACUCAAAGCCUGGAAUAAGGUACUUGUGCACCAAGGGUUUACUAAGUAUUCAUGCAGUGCAUAUGCAUAAGUCAGACCGUUUGCAUAUUAGAAAAAUAGAACAAGCACAAAUUUGGAUAAAAGCCUGAUCGAGGGUCUUAGAGAAGAUGCAACUAAUUCAGUAAUUUCAAAAGUUAAGAAAGGGUAACUUCAAAAGCAGGCUAAUAAACAUAACAGUAUUUUUUUCUUUGAAGAUUUUUAAUUAAUUUCAUUGUUUCUAAAAUCACUGUUGUCUCAAAAUAUGUAUGAACUUUUUUUCAUACUCAUUGCCUUUGAACCCAAAGAGUCCUUUUCCAUUUUGCAUCUUUAUUUUGAUGGUUUGAGGAACGUUUUCCCUCUGUUGACCAACUUGCCAAAUGCAUCAUUCAUAUGAUAUAUAAUACACACGCAAAUUAAGAGUAAUGAAUUGAUCUUUACAUUAUGAUCAUAAAGUUAAUUGUGUAACACAGUUCUUCUGCCUGGAUGGUGCUUAGCACAGUGAAGAAUGGAGACUUGGGCACUUACAUUGCCAUUCCAGCACCCCUAGCCCCUAGCCUUGGAUAGGUCACCUCUACCAUUUUAGUUUUUUCUUUCUAAAAUGGAAAUGGCAAUACCUUUUGAAUGUGUAAGAAAGAAUUUGAGAUAAGCUAUGAGGAACUAGCACAGAAUAAACAGUAACAUGUUGAUUAAAGGCCAACAAUUUUCCCUAUGCUCACCCUACCCAACAGUGAGACAUCUAUAGGGAAGAAGGGAAAAUAAACUACAUACUUUCCUCUCUAGUUAUAGGAACAUGUUAGGAGAAGAAUGUCUACCUACAUAAAAAUUUAAUCUGACCUAAAAUAAAGAUAAAAUUGUAAAUUCAAAGCUUAUUCUGAGGGACAUUUUUGAUCAAAGUCAUCUCAAGAAUGAGAAAAGGGUAAAUAAAAUUUACUUUAUAUAAAAUUAAACAGGAGAAAUCAUUUCUAAUUAAGCUAUUGUUAAGAAAACAUUUCUCUUCUGUAAUAUAGCUCUGGACCAGGGCUGUCCAAAAGAAAUAUAAUGCAAACCACAUACAUAAUCUUCUUCUAGAAACUUCAUUUUCUAGAAUUUUCUAGGAGCUAUAUUCAAAAGAUUUUUAAAAGUGUAAUUAUGUAUUUUAACACAAUAUAUACAAAAUAUUACUCAAUAUGUAAUCAAAAUAAUUAUUAAUGAGGUAGUUUAGUUUACUUUUUUUUUUUUUUUUUUUUUGGCCAUGCCCAAAGUAUGUGGAAGUUCCCUGGGAUUGAACUUGUGCCAUAGCAGCAACUCAAGCCUCUGCAAUAACAACACUGGAUCCUUAACCCACUGUGCUACAAGAGAAAUCCAGUUUACAUUUUUUUAAUGCUAACUGUUCAAAAAAUCACACACAUUUUUUACACUACAACCCACUUCAGCUGGAACUAGCUAUAAUUCAGGUGCUCAAUAACCACAUGACAUGUCUACAAGCGUGUGUUUCCUUGUGUAUGUUUGUUUCUGUGUAUAUAUUUCCACCUAAAAACUCCAAACCACAAGGAAAAUGAAGGAGAGAGUUUCCCUUUACACAAAUGAAGGGACUUAACUCAGCUCACCAAUAUUCACCUUGGACCCUUAUGCUUGACUCGAGGGCUCUUGUGAUCUCUCUCUCUCUCUCUCUCUUCCCUCUCCCUUUAUCCUCUCUUCCUCUCUCUCUGUCCCUCCAUUUCUCUCUCUCUCUCUCUCUCCCCCCUCCCCUCCCUCCCUCCCUCCCUCCCUCUCUCAAAAAUGUGCCUCCAACUAGGGACACAAGAGUAGGAACUGGAGCAUCCAUAACAACCUAUACCUGUGGAGGGUUUGAUACUUUUAUCUCUUUGAAAAGUCACAUUAAAAUCUGUUUUGCAUUAUUGUUUUUCUCAUCUCCCCUGUAAUAACCUCUAGUUUCCUCCCAAAUUCCUACUAAGGACACUAGCUUUGUUCUGGUGGAGUGGAGCAUUUUAUAGAAAGGGAAAUAAAGUAUGGCCUUCCACAUAUCACCCCUCUGCUGAGACCAGAGUAUCAUUUUGAGAGAAGAAAAUUUACUGAAAUUCCAUAAGUGACCAGUUGCCAUAACAGGCCUAGGAGGGAUGGGAAAAAGGGAGCAAAAAGGGAGAAGCAAUUAUACUGGGGGAGGGGGGCGUCUAUCCUUUUUUUCAGAUGUGUUGUAAGAAGACCCUUAAAGAGAAGGCAUACUUGGGCUAUUUCUUUGCUUUUAUUGAUACUGAAAGAUAAUUUAUACACUUUUCUCAAUGGAAGGAAAGGGGUUGGUCAAAUGGAUGGACUGAGAAUCUGUGGUGCCGCCCAGAGAUUGGCCAAAAUUCUUACUGUAACUCUUCUUUGUGUGCUAAGACAACUUUCUAUGAAAAGUCGAUUUGAUAAAGCAGCAAAGUCUCUACAAAGAAUAUGGAGACGUCAGUGCUCUAGAAAUAGUCUGAGGGGUAGAGAAUGUCAAAUAUUUGUCCAACUAUCCUGGUUAGUGAUUUUUUUGAAACCUUCCCGGUAUGGGAACCACCUCCGCCCGUGCCCCCUCCAACCCUGAACACACACGCAUGGACAUGAAACACACAUGCAUGCCCAGUAAGAAGAGAGAGAGACAAAUAUUACUGUGAAUUAGGUAAUUUAAUAGUGUCUUGACUGUUUUAGGCCACUAGGUUUCUACUUCCUCAACUAGAGCAAUGUUAAUAACCCCCUAGUGAUCCAAUUAAAAAGAGAAUGAAUGUACU